UAUUUGUAUAGCUUAUUUAGAGCAUGGUUUUGAAGCAGCCAAGGUAAUUUAUUUUUGCAAAU
rnacentral:tRNA from 1 species